UACGGAGGGUGCAAGCGUUAUCCGGAUUCACUGGGUUUAAAGGGUGCGUAGGUGGAUUGGUAAGUCCGUGGUGAAAUCCCUGAGCUUAACUCAGGAACUGCCGUGGAUACUAUCAAUCUUGAAUACUGUGGAGGUAAGCGGAAUAUGUCAUGUAGCGGUGAAAUGCUUAGAUAUGACAUAGAACACCAAUUGCGAAGGCAGCUCGCUACACAUAUAUUGACUCUGAGGCACGAAAGCGUGGGGAUCAAACAGG
rnacentral:rRNA from 1 species